GCUUUACUAGAAGCUCAUCUAUUAUUUCUUGCUGAUGUUGAAGUUUAUAAAAUGGACCUUUGAGUCUUCGGAAGAGCUAGUUUUCAGAUGAGAAAAUUGAAAUUCAAAGAGGAUGAAUGCUAACUCCAAAGAUCCAUGGCAAGUAUGAGAGCCUAUGGACUAUAGCCUGCCAGACUCCUCUGUCCAUGGGAUUCUCCAAGCAAGAAAA